rnacentral:rRNA from 1 species
UGAGGAAUAUUGGACAAUGGAUGGAAAUCUGAUCCAGCCAUGCCGCGUGCAGGAAGACGGCCCUAUGGGUUGUAAACUGCUUUUGUAUGGGAGCAAUAAGGUCUUCGUGAAGGCCGAUGAGGGUACCAUACGAAUAAGCACCGGCUAACUCCGUGCCAGCAGCCGCGGUAAUACGGAGGGUGCAAGCGUUAUCCGGAUUUAUUGGGUUUAAAGGGUGCGUAGGCGGUUAUAUAAGUCAGCGGUGAAAUUUUUCAGCUUAACUGGAAACAUGCCGUUGAUACUGUAUAGCUUGAAUAUGGUUGCUGUGAGUGGAAUGUGUAGUGUAGCGGUGAAAUGCUUAGAUAUUACACAGAAUAUCGAUUGCGAAGGCAACUCACAAAGCCAUUAUUGACGCUGAGGCACGAAAGUGUGGGGAUCGAACA